rnacentral:rRNA from 1 species
GAGAGUUUGAUCCUGGCUCAGGAUGAACGCUAGCUACAGGCUUAACACAUGCAAGUCGAGGGGCAGCAUGGUCUUAGCUUGCUAAGGCCGAUGGCGACCGGCGCACGGGUGAGUAACGCGUAUCCAACCUGCCUUACACUCUUGGACAGCCUUCUGGAAGGGAGAUUAAUACAAGAUGUUAUCAUGAGUAAGCAUUUUCGCAUGAUUAAAGGUUUACCGGUGUAAGAUGGGGAUGCGUUCCAUUAGAUAGUAGGCGGGGUAACGGCCCACCUAGUCUUCGAUGGAUAGGGGUUCUGAGAGGAAGGUCCCCCACAUUGGAACUGAGACACGGUCCAAACUCCUACGGGAGGCAGCAGUGAGGAAUAUUGGUCAAUGGACGAGAGUCUGAACCAGCCAAGUAGCGUGAAGGAUGAAGGUUCUAUGGAUUGUAAACUUCUUUUAUACGGGAAUAAACGGAUCCACGCGUGGAUUUUUGCAUGUACCGUAUGAAUAAGGAUCGGCUAACUCCGUGCCAGCAGCCGCGGUAAUACGGAGGAUCCGAGCGUUAUCCGGAUUUAUUGGGUUUAAAGGGAGCGUAGAUGGGUUGUUAAGUCAGUUGUGAAAGUUUGCGGCUCAACCGUAAAAUUGCAAUUGAUACUGGCAGUCUUGAGUACAGUUGAGGUAGGCGGAAUUCGUGGUGUAGCGGUGAAAUGCUUAGAUAUCACGAAGAACUCCGAUUGCGAAGGCAGCUUACUAACCUGUAACUGACAUUGAUGCUCGAAAGUGUGGGUAUCAAACAGGAUUAGAUACCCUGGUAGUCCACACGGUAAACGAUGAAUACUCGCUGUAGGCGAUAUACAGUCUGCGGCCAAGCGAAAGCAUUAAGUAUUCCACCUGGGGAGUACGCCGGCAACGGUGAAACUCAAAGGAAUUGACGGGGGCCCGCACAAGCGGAGGAACAUGUGGUUUAAUUCGAUGAUACGCGAGGAACCUUACCCGGGCUUAAAUUGCAACCGAAUAUGGCGGAAACGCUAUAGCUAGCAAUAGCGGUUGUGAAGGUGCUGCAUGGUUGUCGUCAGCUCGUGCCGUGAGGUGUCGGCUUAAGUGCCAUAACGAGCGCAACCCUUGCCGAUAGUUACUAACAGGUUAUGCUGAGGACUCUGUCGGGACUGCCAUCGUAAGAUGUGAGGAAGGUGGGGAUGACGUCAAAUCAGCACGGCCCUUACGUCCGGGGCUACACACGUGUUACAAUGGGGGGUACAGAGGGCUGCUACCACGCAAGUGGAUGCCAAUCCCAAAAACCUCUCUCAGUUCGGAUUGAAGUCUGCAACCCGACUUCAUGAAGCUGGAUUCGCUAGUAAUCGCGCAUCAGCCACGGCGCGGUGAAUACGUUCCCGGGCCUUGUACACACCGCCCGUCAAGCCAUGGGAGCCGGGGGUACCUGAAGUGCGUAACCGCAAGGAGCGCCCUAGGGUAAAACUGGUGACUGGGGCUAAGUCGUAACAAGGUAGCCG